rnacentral:rRNA from 1 species
AUUCCGGAUAGGCCACAGAUGCUGGAAUGCACUGUGGCUCAAAGCUCCGGCGCCGAAGGAUGGGUCUGCGGCCUAUCAGGGUUGUAGUGGGUGUAAUGUACCUACUAGCCUACGACGGGUACGGGUUGUGAGAGCAAGAGCCCGGAGAUGGAUUCUGAGACACGAAUCCAGGCCCUACGGGGUGCAGCAGGCGCGAAAACUUUACAAUGCGGGAAACCGUGAUAAGGGAAUCUCGAGUGCCAGCAUAUAAUGUUGGCUGUCCAGAUGCCUAAAAAGCAUCUGUUAGCAAGGGCCGGGCAAGACCGGUGCCAGCCGCCGCGGUAACACCGGCGGCCCGAGUGGUAACCGCUUUUAUUGGGUCUAAGGGGUCUGUAGCCGGCCAUGUAAGUCCCUUGGGAAAUCUGGCAGCUCAACUGUCAGGCUGCUAGGGGAUACUGCUUGGCUUGGGACCGGGAGAGGUGAGAGGUACCUUGAGGGUAGGGGUGAAAUCUUGUGAUCCUCGGGGGACCACCAGUGGCGAAGGCGUCUCACCAGAACGGGUCCGACGGUAAGGGACGAAAGCUAGGGGCACGAACCGGAUUAGAUACCCGGGUAGUCCUAGCCGUAAACGAUGCUCGCUAGGUGUCAGUCACGGUGCGACCGUGAUUGGUGCCGUAGGGAAGCCGUGAAGCGAGCCACCUGGGAAGUACGGCCGCAAGGCUGAAACUUAAAGGAAUUGGCGGGGGAGCACUACAACGGGUGGAGCCUGCGGUU